AUGGUCUUGGUCGAACGGUGAAGCCAAGUGGAUCAGUGGCGAACGGGUGAGUAACACGUGAGCAACCUGCCCUGGACUCUGGGAUAAGCGCUGGAAACGGUGUCUAAUACUGGAUAUGAGACGUGAUCGCAUGGUCGUGUUUGGAAAGAUUUUUCGGUCUGGGAUGGGCUCGCGGCCUAUCAGCUUGUUGGUGAGGUAAUGGCUCACCAAGGCGUCGACGGGUAGCCGGCCUGAGAGGGUGACCGGCCACACUGGGACUGAGACACGGCCCAGACUCCUACGGGAGGCAGCAGUGGGGAAUAUUGCACAAUGGGCGGAAGCCUGAUGCAGCAACGCCGCGUGAGGGAUGACGGCCUUCGGGUUGUAAACCUCUUUUAGCAGGGAAGAAGCGAAAGUGACGGUACCUGCAGAAAAAGCGCAGGCUAACUACGUGCCAGCAGCCGCGGUAAUACGUAGGGCGCAAGCGUUAUCCGGAAUUAUUGGGCGUAAAGAGCUCGUAGGCGGUUUGUCGCGUCUGCUGUGAAAUCCCGAGGCUCAACCUCGGGCCUGCAGUGGGUACGGGCAGACUAGAGUGCGGUAGGGGAGAUUGGAAUUCCUGGUGUAGCGGUGGAAUGCGCAGAUAUCAGGAGGAACACCGAUGGCGAAGGCAGAUCUCUGGGCCGUAACUGACGCUGAGGAGCGAAAGGGUGGGGAGCAAACAGGCUUAGAUACCCUGGUAGUCCACCCCGUAAACGUUGGGAACUAGUUGUGGGGACCAUUCCACGGUUUCGGUGACGCAGCUAACGCAUUAAGUUCCCCGCCUGGGGAGUACGGCCGCAAGGCUAAAACUCACACGGGGACCCGCACAAGCGGCGGAGCAUGCGGAUUAAUUCGAUGCAACGCGAAGAACCUUACCAAGGCUUGACAUAUACGAGAACGGGCCAGAAAUGGUCAACUCUUUGGACACUCGUAAACAGGUGGUGCAUGGUUGUCGUCAGCUCGUGUCGUGAGAUGUUGGGUUAAGUCCCGCAACGAGCGCAACCCUCGUUCUAUGUUGCCAGCACGUAAUGGUGGGAACUCAUGGGAUACUGCCGGGGUCAACUCGGAGGAAGGUGGGGAUGACGUCAAAUCAUCAUGCCCCUUAUGUCUUGGGCUUCACGCAUGCUACAAUGGCCGGUACAAAGGGCUGCAAUACCGUAAGGUGGAGCGAAUCCUUGUUGCCAUUGUGUGGGGCAAAAAGCGCCGCUCACCAAGCUCACCAAACGCUGAGGGUGCUUUCGGU
rnacentral:rRNA from 1 species